ACUAAGCGUACACGGUGGAUGCCCUGGCAGUCAGAGGCGAUGAAGGACGUGCUAAUCUGCGAUAAGCGUCGGUAAGGUGAUAUGAACCGUUAUAACCGGCGAUUUCCGAAUGGGGAAACCCAGUGUGAUUCGUCACACUAUCAUUAACUGAAUCCAUAGGUUAAUGAGGCGAACCGGGGGAACUGAAACAUCUAAGUACCCCGAGGAAAAGAAAUCAACCGAGAUUCCCCCAGUAGCGGCGAGCGAACGGGGAGCAGCCCAGAGCCUGAAUCAGUGUGUGUGUUAGUGGAAGCGUCUGGAAAGGCGCGCGAUACAGGGUGACAGCCCCGUACACAAAAAUGCACAUACUGUGAGCUCGAUGAGUAGGGCGGGACACGUGGUAUCCUGUCUGAAUAUGGGGGGACCAUCCUCCAAGGCUAAAUACUCCUGACUGACCGAUAGUGAACCAGUACCGUGAGGGAAAGGCGAAAAGAACCCCGGCGAGGGGAGUGAAAAAGAACCUGAAACCGUGUACGUACAAGCAGUGGGAGCACAGAGCAAUCUGUGUGACUGCGUACCUUUUGUAUAAUGGGUCAGCGACUUAUAUUCUGUAGCAAGGUUAACCGAAUAGGGGAGCCGAAGGGAAACCGAGUCUUAACUGGGCGUUAAGUUGCAGGGUAUAGACCCGAAACCCGGUGAUCUAGCCAUGGGCAGGUUGAAGGUUGGGUAACACUAACUGGAGGACCGAACCGACUAAUGUUGAAAAAUUAGCGGAUGACUUGUGGCUGGGGGUGAAAGGCCAAUCAAACCGGGAGAUAGCUGGUUCUCCCCGAAAGCUAUUUAGGUAGCGCCUCGUGAAUUCAUCUCCGGGGGUAGAGCACUGUUUCGGCAAGGGGGUCAUCCCGACUUACCAACCCGAUGCAAACUGCGAAUACCGGAGAAUGUUAUCACGGGAGACACACGGCGGGUGCUAACGUCCGUCGUGAAGAGGGAAACAACCCAGACCGCCAGCUAAGGUCCCAAAGUCAUGGUUAAGUGGGAAACGAUGUGGGAAGGCCCAGACAGCCAGGAUGUUGGCUUAGAAGCAGCCAUCAUUUAAAGAAAGCGUAAUAGCUCACUGGUCGAGUCGGCCUGCGCGGAAGAUGUAACGGGGCUAAACCAUGCACCGAAGCUGCGGCAGCGACGCUGAUGCGUUGUUGGGUAGGGGAGCGUUCUGUAAGCCUGUGAAGGUGUACUGUGAGGUAUGCUGGAGGUAUCAGAAGUGCGAAUGCUGACAUAAGUAACGAUAAAGCGGGUGAAAAGCCCGCUCGCCGGAAGACCAAGGGUUCCUGUCCAACGUUAAUCGGGGCAGGGUGAGUCGACCCCUAAGGCGAGGCCGAAAGGCGUAGUCGAUGGGAAACAGGUUAAUAUUCCUGUACUUGGUGUUACUGCGAAGGGGGGACGGAGAAGGCUAUGUUGGCCGGGCGACGGUUGUCCCGGUUUAAGCGUGUAGGCUGGUUUUCCAGGCAAAUCCGGAAAAUCAAGGCUGAGGCGUGAUGACGAGGCACUACGGUGCUGAAGCAACAAAUGCCCUGCUUCCAGGAAAAGCCUCUAAGCAUCAGGUAACAUCAAAUCGUACCCCAAACCGACACAGGUGGUCAGGUAGAGAAUACCAAGGCGCUUGAGAGAACUCGGGUGAAGGAACUAGGCAAAAUGGUGCCGUAACUUCGGGAGAAGGCACGCUGAUAUGUAGGUGAAGUCCCUCGCGGAUGGAGCUGAAAUCAGUCGAAGAUACCAGCUGGCUGCAACUGUUUAUUAAAAACACAGCACUGUGCAAACACGAAAGUGGACGUAUACGGUGUGACGCCUGCCCGGUGCCGGAAGGUUAAUUGAUGGGGUCAGCGCAAGCGAAGCUCUUGAUCGAAGCCCCGGUAAACGGCGGCCGUAACUAUAACGGUCCUAAGGUAGCGAAAUUCCUUGUCGGGUAAGUUCCGACCUGCACGAAUGGCGUAAUGAUGGCCAGGCUGUCUCCACCCGAGACUCAGUGAAAUUGAACUCGCUGUGAAGAUGCAGUGUACCCGCGGCAAGACGGAAAGACCCCGUGAACCUUUACUAUAGCUUGACACUGAACAUUGAGCCUUGAUGUGUAGGAUAGGUGGGAGGCUUUGAAGUGUGGACGCCAGUCUGCAUGGAGCCGACCUUGAAAUACCACCCUUUAAUGUUUGAUGUUCUAACGUUGACCCGUAAUCCGGGUUGCGGACAGUGUCUGGUGGGUAGUUUGACUGGGGCGGUCUCCUCCUAAAGAGUAACGGAGGAGCACGAAGGUUGGCUAAUCCUGGUCGGACAUCAGGAGGUUAGUGCAAUGGCAUAAGCCAGCUUGACUGCGAGCGUGACGGCGCGAGCAGGUGCGAAAGCAGGUCAUAGUGAUCCGGUGGUUCUGAAUGGAAGGGCCAUCGCUCAACGGAUAAAAGGUACUCCGGGGAUAACAGGCUGAUACCGCCCAAGAGUUCAUAUCGACGGCGGUGUUUGGCACCUCGAUGUCGGCUCAUCACAUCCUGGGGCUGAAGUAGGUCCCAAGGGUAUGGCUGUUCGCCAUUUAAAGUGGUACGCGAGCUGGGUUUAGAACGUCGUGAGACAGUUCGGUCCCUAUCUGCCGUGGGCGCUGGAGAACUGAGGGGGGCUGCUCCUAGUACGAGAGGACCGGAGUGGACGCAUCACUGGUGUUCGGGUUGUCAUGCCAAUGGCACUGCCCGGUAGCUAAAUGCGGAAGAGAUAAGUGCUGAAAGCAUCUAAGCACGAAACUUGCCCCGAGAUGAGUUCUCCCUGACUCCUUGAGAGUCCUGAAGGAACGUUGAAGACGACGACGUUGAUAGGCCGGGUGUGUAAGCGCAGCGAUGCGUUGAGCUAACCGGUACUAAUGAACCGUGAGGCUUAACC
rnacentral:rRNA from 1 species